GCCCCUAACCGUAGCACUAGACAUCUUACAAGGGGAUGAGUGCACCUAUGGGGCUUUACUACCAACACUUACAAGCCUGAUGUCAAAGACACUUGCCCUGAAAGAUGACCUCUCUAGAAUGACAGCCAGCCUUCCAGAUGUUAUUGUAAAGACCAUCAAGAUUUGUUUUGAUGCUGUACUGGAUAGCCAAGAAGGACUUCUUGCAGCGGCCACUUGUCCCAAGUUCAAACUUCGAUGGCUAAAAGAUGAGCGUAGAAGAGAGCAUUUGAAGGUGCUUCUGACAACAGAGUGUCGUAAAACUGCUCCUGCAGCUGACAAUGUUAAUGUGUCCCAACUGGCAGCCAGCCCAGCUGAAAUGGACUUUUUUAAUUUUGAGAACCAGCCUACAGAAAGCUUUUCAGCAGAAAAUGAAGUAACUGACUAUUUAAGGUCAGGGUAUGAGCUUGAAACCACCAGUGGAACGGCUGUUCAGUUAGGUGGAUUGGUGCUUUCCCCGAAAAGGAACAGACUGUGUGAUAGGAGGUUUGAGAAGCUUCUGCUGAUGCGAUAUAACCACUGUUUCACUCUGAAAGAAAACAAAAAACAUAGGGCCUUGCAGGGUAGCCAUAAAAUGAGACUGGACUAACAGCCUAAAUGUGGCAUGCAACAGCAUUUUUUGUUUUGGUAAACUCAUUUUUACUCCUCUCUGCACUUUACUGUUAAAAGAUGUAAAUGUUAAUAAUUUGGAAUACAGUCAGGAGAGACUUUCAUUUUAAUUAUUUUAUUGCUGUAUUUUAUUUACAUCUAUUCGAAUGAAGCUACCAGGAGGCCUGCAAACAAGCGGCGGCAUUUCAGCGGUUCCUCCCUCGCCGCUCUCUACCAGCUCUGCGUACCUCUGCGUACCAGCUCCUCAUACAGAGAGGCACAGAAACAGAGCGUUGCCGCCCGUGCUCCCCCGCGUCGGGACCGGAGGCCGAAGCAAUGCUCUGGGUUGGGGACUUCACAGCCUAAGCCGGAUCUGAGGAGCAUACUUCAGGCUAGGAGGUCCUCGGCUAAGAAAUCCUGACACAAGUGGGUCAGGAUUUCAGAGGGCGGCCCCUACUGGGGUAGAGCGGUGCACACCACAUGCACACCGCAUCACACGGUGCCCAUCUCGCCUCAGUGCCCUCGGGAAGUCGGUCUGCCAGCCCUGCCAGAGUUUCAGGGUGCAGCGGCUUCCAGCAAGCUUGCUCUCAGUUUCUUCCGCCCGCGAGCAUAGCGGAGCUGAGAGGUUCACCACCCCUUUGGGGGUCUGUAAAACAGUUAGCUCGGUUGCCCCAGGCUGGUCCUCCACUUCAGGGCACCGAUCUAGC
ensembl:lncRNA